GCGGCUGCCACCAAGACCGAUACGCCAGGAUGAACGGUGAACUGAGAGCCGGUCGUACCACGACAGCCAAGAGAGGAAGCAGCGCCAUUGACAGAUCUGAUUAUGACAUGGACUAUGACAAAUACCCAGAUGACCACUAUAACCGUGUGUUUGACUAUCAGCGAGUUCCCUCUUCGGUCCCAGCGGAUCCCAGUCCUGUAAAACAGCCCCGCCCUUCAUCUUCAUCGUCCUCCUCCUCUUCAUCGUCCACGGCGGCUCUGAGAAUGAGGAGCAGCAGGCCGUCCAGAAGGAGCAACAACACACACACCUCCGCCUCCAGCAGCAAAUUGAGAAUGGCAGAGCUUCUUUCCAUCAAAAGGGAGCUGAAAGUGAUCAAGGUUCAGAUCGAUGGCCUGCUGGACUGCGUAGACAAGAUGGACAGACAGAGGAAGGACGGCUCAGAGUGUCCUCAGAGCAGGGAGCCCAGUGUGUCGGAUUCCUCUCGCCGAGGUUCAGUCAGCAGUCUGGAGCGAGAGAGUCCAGAGCCAGGAGAGGCCAGUGAGGACGAGCCGCUGCACUACCAGCACUACUACCCCUACAGCUACACCCAUAGGAUAAAGCAGUCUGAUCAGGAGGAGGACCUGUGAUGCUGCAGUUCAGAAGCAGACGCUCAGAUCUGUAACAGCUGGGAUGGACGAAGCUUCAAGACGACGCUGGCAACACGACCUGCAUUUGGACUGACUCUCCUCCACCCCUGAUUUUUGAUUUUUUUCCCAUAUUUUUGACAUUUUUAUUAUGUUGCACUGCCUUCACCUUCACGUUCUCCAGCAUAGAAUGACGGUAAAAUCAACACUGACACUUUACUGAUUCCAGUGAUCCACAUUCACAUGUUGACACAUUAGUCAAUAUCUGAACAUCAUAGAAAAGUUUAAUAAAACAUACUCAUGGUUUUGCAGAAACCUUUUCUCCAGCUAAAUACCUCCUCACAGUGAGCAGAUUAUUUUAUUUUGGCCUCUGGGCCAACGCCUCUGCAUCGCCACAAAACACUGCAUUAGUGGGCUACACAGGCAAGAGCAGACUCAUGAGCCUGUUGGAUUAUUUCCUUAACUUUUGAGCCUGUUUCAUCACCCUAACCUUGCUUCUCAUGUCAGACUCAUCACUGUUAUUAAAGUCUGUGUGGCACCAGCUGGCGGCUCCUUAUCACACAUUUUAUUUUCAUCAGGCCUGUUUUCAUUAUGUGUAACCAGCUGUGUGACCACAUUAUGCUUCUGCGAUACAGGCUCAGUGAGCACGGCUUUAUGACUUUCUGGGUAAAUUUCACCGUUCAGUCCACUCAGGAAAUCACUUAUAAAGUCAUAUGUAGGCCCAGACAAUUUCCUGAAAUGAGCAUUAGCUUUGAAUAAUAACUCCAUGUAGUAGAUAUGAAUAGG
ensembl:lncRNA